rnacentral:tRNA from 1 species
AGAAACUUAGGUUAACAUCAAACCAAGGGCCUUCAAAGCCCUCAAUGGGGGAUUAAGCCCCUAGUCUMUG